rnacentral:rRNA from 1 species
GGUUUAAGGUGACUGCGGA